rnacentral:rRNA from 1 species
AUUGCCUCAGUAACGGCGAGUGAAGCGGCAAAAGCUCAAAUUUGAAAUCUAGCACUUUCAGUGUUCGAGUUGUAAUUUGAAGAAGGUAACUUUGGUUUUGGCUCUUGUCUAUGUUCCUUGGAACAGGACGUCACAGAGGGUGAGAAUCCCGUGCGAUGAGAUGCCCAAUUCCAUGUAAAGUGCUUUCGAAGAGUCGAGUUGUUUGGGAAUGCAGCUCUAAGUGGGUGGUAAAUUCCAUCUAAAGCUAAAUAUUGGCGAGAGACCGAUAGCGAACAAGUACAGUGAUGGAAAGAUGAAAAGAACUUUGAAAAGAGAGUGAAAAAGUACGUGAAAUUGUUGAAAGGGAAGGGCUUGAGAUCAGACUUGGUAUUUUGCGUUCCCUUCCUUUUUGGUUGGGUUCCUCGCAGUUUACUGGGCCAGCAUCGGUUUGGAUGGUAGGAUAAUGACAUUGGAAUGUAGCUUUACUUCGGUGAAGUGUUAUAGACUUUGUUGAUACUGCCUAUCUAGACCGAGGACUGCGUCUUUGACUAGGAUGCUGGCGUAAUGAUCUUAAGCCGCCCGUCUUGAAACACGGACCAAGGAGUCUAACGUCUAUGCAAGUGUUUGGGUGUAAAACCCGUACGCGUAAUGAAAGUGAACGUAGGUGAGAGCCUUUUAGGUGCAUCAUCGACCGAUCCUGAUGUCUUCGGAUGGAUUUGAGUAAGAGCAUAGCUGUUGGGACCCGAAAGAUGGUGAACUAUGCCUGAAUAGGGUGAAGCCAGAGGAAACUCUGGUGGAGGCUCGUAGCGGUUCUGACGUGCAAAUCGAUCGUCGAAUUUGGGUAUAGGGG